UCCUCUUCCACUUUUUAGGGCAAUUGUUUUGUUUGAUAGACGAAGCUUAGGGUCUCUUUGGGUUUGCAACCCUUACCCUCCUGGAAAAAAUCAUAGUUGCUAGACUGCGACACUUCAGACCAGGUACUAUUAGAGCCGCUAAUGGACGACGAGCUAUUUUCCGCUAUCCGGAGCUCAAGCAUUUGAGCCGCUAAAUGGACGAGACUCCUGGGGUAAAGGAUGCAGGGAGUAGGUAUUGUACUACUUCCUGGUAUGGAGCACUGAGAAGCGCAAUGUGCAACAGAAAUUACCAUGGUGAUACAGUAGAUUACCGUGUGAAGCGGUGUGAGAUGCAGCAAAGCAUUAGGCGAUUUGAUCGCAGGACAAGAGAGGAGCUGAUGGACGAUCUCUCCAGUGUCCCUCUUGGUUCGGAGCAGCGCCGAGUGCUGACGUUGGGACUUGGAGUUCUAGCAUCCGUAGCUGCCUCAGGGGGUGCCACUGCUCCCAUCAGCGUCGACUAGUCCGCCGAUCUCACUCAGCUCUGCUCUCCGAGCAUUCUGCUUCCAACACGACUUCCCGAAAGAAAAUGUGCUCACGCAUUAGAAGGAGGUGAAAGAUGCACCUGCAGGAGAAUACAUGCUUAAGAGAAGGCAGAAACAUGCCCAGAUCCACCAGAACUAGUGCUGGCAAGUCAAUAGAGGCGAGUACUGAUAAUGUUCCAGAUUGUGGUAGGAUCACAUAAGCAAAAUUGACACUGGGAGGCACGGCGGUGGGUCAGCUCAUGGCCAGCGCCAGCUCCAGUGGAUAUCACGUGCAUCCAGUUCUAGUACUAUAGUAUGACUGCUACAAAGUAGUGCGGCCCAAAUAGAACUCGGGUCAGGUGCCGAAGAACUGGGGGGGGGGGGGGCAUGUGUCAAUGAAUGGUAAUAACUCCGGAAAUCAUGCUGGUGUAUCGAGGGCGUGGGCCAAUGAAGUGCUGGAUUGAUGGUGGACGACUGUACUGCAAUCUUGGCUGGUCCCACUAUCGCAGAGACAGCACUUCCUGGUGCAACCACCCUAUCCUGCAAUCUAUAUAAUAAUUAUUAUAAGAGAUUUGUGUGAACGAUUUUAGCAUGAUGCAAGUCAGCUUAUUGUGCUGGGGGCCUGGCUACAUGUCACUAUAGCUUUUUAUAGACUCGAUCACCGCAUUACGCUGCCUUGCGUUGACUUGAUUGAGCACUCUUUUUGGUUAGUGUCAAAGGUAUAUGUAAUAUGUAUCUGCCUUCGUGCAAAGCUCUCUUUGUGCGUGUCUUGCAGAUAGCUCGCUGACUUUGAUGCUUUGAGCCAUUUUCAAAUUGCUUUUUUUGUUC